rnacentral:rRNA from 1 species
UGGGGAAUUUUGGACAAUGGGCGAAAGCCUGAUCCAGCAAUGCCGCGUGUGUGAAGAAGGCCUUCGGGUUGUAAAGCACUUUUGUCCGGAAAGAAAUCCUUGGCUCUAAUACAGUCGGGGGAUGACGGUACCGGAAGAAUAAGCACCGGCUAACUACGUGCCAGCAGCCGCGGUAAUACGUAGGGUGCAAGCGUUAAUCGGAAUUACUGGGCGUAAAGCGUGCGCAGGCGGUUUGCUAAGACCGAUGUGAAAUCCCCGGGCUCAACCUGGGGAACUGCAUUGGUGACUGGCAGGCUAGAGUAUGGCAGAGGGGGGUAGAAUUCCACGUGUAGCAGUGAAAUGCGUAGAGAUGUGGAGGAAUACCGAUGGCGAAGGCAGCCCCCCUGGGGCCAAAUACUGACGCUCAUGCACGAAAGCGUGGGGAGCAAACAGGAUUAGAUACCCUGGUAGUCCACGCCCUAAAACGAUGUCAACUAGUUGUUGGGGAUUCAUUUCCUUAGUAACGUAGCUAACGCGUGAAGUUGACCGCCUGGGGAGUACGGUCGCAAGAUUAAAACUCAAAUGAAUUGACGGGGUCAUA